CCCUGACUGAAAUCCUGGGGUGGAGGCAACUUCAGAUCCCCCAGAGAGGGGCUCCUUCUGGGGCUGUCCUUCAUCCUCUGCUCCUGAGGCAGUGCCUGGUCCAGGCUUCAAGUUCAAGCACCCAGCUUUCUCUCUUCCCUGUUCUCCUGUGGUCCUCUCUCCUGGGGAACCCAUGACUCAGGCAAAAGGACCUAGCUACCACGCUGUGAGGGAGCACAUACCAUCCUGCAAAGAGAGAUUUAUAGACAGGACUAGAACUGAGGACCCCAGCUGAUGGCCAGCACCAAAUGCCAGGCAUGUGAGUAAAAGGCCUUCUGAUGAUGCCUGUCCCCAACGCUGUCAUGCCACACACAAGCGACCCUUCUGUGCCCUGUGUGGAAUUCUGACCCAUAGUCUCUGUGGCCUUAGAAAAUGGUUACUUUACUUGACUAAGUUUUCAGGCAAUUUGUAAUGUAGUCAUAGUAACUGCAACACCGUCUACUGGGAAUUGCAGUUUUGUGCUGUUUGCUGUCCAAUGCUGAAAAUAGUUGCCUUACAUACUUUGUCCUGUAUUAUUGUUUUGGGAGAGCUGGUCUCUGAGCCAAGACUUCAGGCUGUAGCUCUGUUCUCUAAAGUAACAAUAAAGAGAAUGCUA